rnacentral:rRNA from 1 species
AGGAUAAACGCUGGCGGCGUGCCUAACACAUGCAAGUCGAACGCUCUUUUCCUUCGCAAGAGGGGGGAGGGAGUGGCGGACGGGUGAGGAACACAUGGGUGACCUACCUUUCAGUGAGGAAUACCGGCGAGAAAUCGCCGACAAGACCGCAUGAGCUUCUCUCGGUGAGCGAGGGAAGGAAAGCUCUUUUUCGCGAAAAACGGAGAGGGGCGCUGGAAGAUGGGCCUGUGGCCGAUUAGCUAGUUGGUGAGGUAACGGCUCACCAAGGCGACGAUCGGUAGCUGGUCUGAGAGGACGAUCAGCCACACUGGGAUUGAGAACGGCCCAGACUCCUACGGGGGGCAGCAGUGAGGAAUUUCCGCAAUGGGCGCAAGCCUGACGGAGCAACGCCGCGUGCAGGAAGACGGUUUUCGGAUCGUAAACUGCUUUUCUCGGGGACGAGAACGGACGGUACCCGAGGAAUCAGCCCCGGCUAACUACGUGCCAGCAGCCGC